UACAGAGGGUGCAAGCGUUGUUCGGAAUUACUGGGCGUAAAGGGCUCGUAGGCGGCCAACUAAGUCGGAUGUGAAAUCCCCAGGCUCAACCUGGGAACUGCAUCCGAUACUGGAUGGCUUGAAUCCGGGAGAGGGAUGCAGAAUUCCAGGUGUAGCGGUGAAAUGCGUAGAUAUCUGGAGGAAUACCGGUGGCGAAGGCGGCAUCCUGGACCGGCAUUGACGCUGAGGAGCGAAAGCCAGGGGAGCAAACGGG
rnacentral:rRNA from 1 species